AGUACAGCUAUGACAUAGUAGGUGGAGGUGAGUGUUAUGGGGAACACACAUUAGGCAAAGGGGAUGGGGGAAACUGGAGGUCAGGGUGGGGAUGCCAUUUCAUAGGGGGUUGGUUGGAGGCCUCCCUGAUAAGUCGGCAUUGAGCAGACACCUGCAGCAGGUGGGGGAGCAAGUCACAGGCCUGCCUGGGGCAGAGCAGAGCCAGAGCCAGCACGGGGGAGGUGGGUCCUGAUGAGCCUAAGCCAAUUAGAACACAGCAUUCCUCUCUCAAUGGCCCAGGAUGGACGCAUGGACAAACGGGUCAGCCAGAUGGACAAGAGCAUCCGAAUUCAUCACGGAUGUGAAUGUUGAGAACGAAGACUAUUACCCAGAAUGUCACCGGCAGCAUCCUGGGACAGAGGAAACCACCAGGAAUGGAGCUAAGCCUGAGGCCAGUGGCCGAGGACCUUGGGGACUUCUCUGAGCUAGUCCACAAGGCUUCCUGGUUAAGCCAAUCUGGGGUGGAAUUUUCCAUCACUUGCAGUCAAAACAAUCCUGAUACAGACGGUAAGUUUUCAACCACGUGGGGAUGCCCGAGGCCACCAGCACUGCCCGUGUCAUGUGGACAAAAGCCUGCAGCUGGCCGGCUGGUGGGAAAAGCCGAUUGUAGGAGCAAAGUCAAGCACGAGGCCGGGAAAUGACCUUGGAUGCUUCUUCCAUCUGAGGCCCAGUGCUUCUCCUAUCUGCCAGAGGGAAGUGCCCCAGUUCUGCCGAAGAAACGACAUUCUUGUCCCCUUACACUUCAUCCGGAAGGGCCUUGCACAAUGCAUCGCGAAGAGCACCCUUGGUAGCGGUUUUAUAAAAGUUGUUGAAACUUCCCCGGGCCCUCCUGCCCUUUCCCUCCUUCCUCCCAGGACCUGCCAGCUUCGUGGGCUGAGGGGAGGGCCACAGGCUCCUUGCAGAGCUCAUUAAGGGUUGCUUUGUUGUCGUCCAGAGCAACCCUCCGUGAGUCUCCCCUUUGGGGUCACCUCGGUUGACUUGGAGGGGUAUAAUUUAUUCACCAUGAAAUGAACCCCCUCUCCCGCCCAGUGACAGGCUCUGACAAAGAGCCCGGCUCUCCCAGGUCUCUGCCCAGCACCCGGUCUGUCUGGACUCCCACGCGGAGUGUCCCGGCCUUGGACUUGACUGGCUCUGCCUCCCUGUCAGCACAGCUCAGCUCAGCGGCUCCACCCUGCGCUCUAACAACUGUGGGACUAAAGCAAGGCUUGGUGCCUCCCAGGCAGGAUUGAAUUCCAGAUCAUUCAGAAUAAAAACACACUCAGC